rnacentral:ribozyme from 15 species
AGAAAACCCAGCAAGUAAACUAACAAUUAAUAAACCAUUAUCGAUAGCACCAAAUCUGAAAAAUCGUAAAAAGGAAGACACAUCGAUCCCUGUCUUUUCUUCAACUUGUUGUUCAGUAGGUGUCAUUUGAUUAUUUUUUUUUUUUUUUGUUUUUUUUUGUUUUUCUC